GGAGAAAUGCCAGAGCGGUUGAAUGGGGCAGUCUCGAAAACUGUUGUACCUAUGUAGGUAUCGGGGGUUCGAAUCCCUCUUUCUCCGCCA
rnacentral:tRNA from 1 species